UAACGAUAAAGGCAAACUUAUCGAAAGAUAAGGACGCAAAGCCACGGGUCUAAGGUUCAAUGUGAAUGAUGACAGCCGGGUUACCGAA
rnacentral:ncRNA from 2 species